GAUGAAGAACGUAGCGAAAUGCGAUAAGUAAUGUGAAUUGCAGAAUUCCGUGAAUCAUCGAAUCUUUGAACGCACAUUGCGCCCCCUGGCAUUCCGGGGGGCAUGCCUGUCCGAGCGUCAUUUCUGCCCUCAAGCACGGCUUGUGUGUUGGGUGUGGUCCCCCCGGGGACCUGCCCGAAAGGCAGCGGCGACGUCCGUCUGGUCCUCGAGCAUAUGGGGCUCUGUCACUCGCUCGGGAAGGACCUGCGGGGGUUGGUCACCACUAUAUUUUACCACGGUUGACCUCGGAUCAGGUAGGAGUUACCCGCUGAACUUAAGCAUAUCAAUAAGCGGAGGA
rnacentral:misc_RNA from 1 species